UCGUGAUGAGAAGCUUCGUCUGGAUUUAGCUCCGUGAUUUAUUUCAAUUACUGAUGAAAAAAGACUUCUCGAGCAGGAGCUUCACGUCAGACCUCCACCAACCACAUGUUUGUUCUCUAACAGUUUCCAGUGACCAGUCUCACUUCAGGCUGACUGUAGAACAUCUCCAGAUGUUGCUCACCAGAUGUCACCAAGACCUCAUGUGGAAUUUCAAAAUAAAGGCCCUCCAAAGUUGGACAUUUUCCAUAGAAUUGU